rnacentral:rRNA from 1 species
UUCUUAAUUAUUAUUACCUUAAGUAAAAUCUGCUCCAUGUAAAAUAAAUAGCCGCAGUAAUUUCACUGUGCUAAGGUAGCAUAAUCAUUAGCCUUUUAAUUAAAGGCUAGAAUGAAAGAUUUAACAUUUUAAUUUCUUUUUUUAAAAACUUCUAUUUAACUUAAACUAAAUAUAAAAAUAUAUUUAUGUAUAAAAAAGACGACAAGACCCUAUUGAACUUUACUAUAGUUUAGCUGGGGAAGCUAAUUAAAUAUAAUUUUAAUUUUUUUAUAAAAUAAUCAAACCAAUAAAAUUGAUUUUAACAAGUUACCAUAGGGAUAACAGCGUAAUAUUUUUUUAAAGUUCUUAUAAAAAAAAAGACUUGCGACCUCGAUGUUGAAUAAUUUUCUUUAAAGCGCAAAAGCAUUAAAAGAAGGUCUGUUCGACCUUUAAACAAUUACA